rnacentral:rRNA from 1 species
GCGUGAGUGAUGAAGGCCUUAGGGUUGUAAAGCUCUUUCAGUCGUGAAGAUAAUGACGGUAGCGACAGAAGAAGCCCCGGCUAACUCCGUGCCAGCAGCCGCGGUAAUACGGAGGGGGCUAGCGUUGUUCGGAAUCACUGGGCGUAAAGCGCGCGUAGGCGGACUGAUCAGUUGGGGGUGAAAUCCCGGGGCUUAACCUCGGAACUGCCUCCAAUACUGUCAGUCUUGAGUUCGGGAGAGGUGAGUGGAAUUCCUAGUGUAGAGGUGAAAUUCGU